rfam:Arabis alpina cultivar Pajares Aa.chr8_contig_3925, whole genome shotgun sequence.
AAAAAGGUUUCUCUCGAAACCAAAUCGCGAAAAUGAGAAAAAAAAU